rnacentral:rRNA from 1 species
AGCAUUCCUCCUGUCGCCACCAUGGCGUCCGCCUCCGCCGCCGCCCCAGCCGUCUCCUUCCAGCCCGGCCGGCGCGCCCCGCUGCGGCCCCGCUGCACGCAUUCCGAGCGCGGCGUCUCCUUCGACCCCGGCUCAGCCUUCUACCGCAGCGACAGCGCCCCGGGCCGCGACCUGGCCGUCCUCGCCGCCACCCUCCACCGCCGACGCCGCCCCGACCCCUCCGCCCCUUUCCUCUGCCUCGACGCCAUGUGCGGCUCCGGCGUCCGCGCGCUCCGCUACCUCGCGCAGGCCGGCGCCGACUUCGUCUGGGCCAACGACGCCUCCGACGCGCUCCACCCGGUCAUCGUCGGCAACUUCUCUCGCUUCGAGCCCGUGCCUCCCGAAGGGCAGAGGCGGUGGGUGGUGUCGCACCUUGACGCCACCCGGCUGCUCGCCGAGAGGUACCUCCGCCGCGAGUACUUUGACGUCAUCGACGUGGACUCGUUCGGCAGCGAGGCCGAGUACAUCCGGGCGGCCUUCUUGGCGCUCAAGAUUGGGGGCCUUCUCUACCUCACCUCCACAGAUUGGCGGUCGGCGAGAGGUUAUGGCGGAAAAUGCUCACUGUCUUCAUAUGGAGCAUACAUUCGUCCAGUGCCAUAUCCGAAUGAGAUUGGUUUGCGAAUGCUUUUAGGUGGGGCUGCCCGCGAAGCAGCUAUGCUUGGAUUUCACAUAGAACCAGUAUUCUCUUAUUACGCAUACCACGGUCCAAUUUUUCGAGCAAUGGUACGAUUAUGCCAUGGAAAAGAAGAUGGCAUCAGCAAUUAUGGUUUCAUUUGUCAUUGCAAGAGUUGCGGCCAGUCUCAGACUUUUGGAUUUGACGAAUUGGGGCAGAUUUCUUGCGGAUGUGCAGAUAGAACAGAUGCCACUUCAAUCACAGUUGUAGGCCCACUUUGGACAGGUCCUCUACAUGAUCGCUCUUCCAUUACAGAAAUGCUAAACUUGGCUGUAGAAUGGGGAUGGGCACACACAAGUGAGAAUGGUGUCACUUUGGAAAAACUUCUUGGCACCAUGAUUGAGGAGAGUGACCCAAGGUUACCGCCUGGAUAUAUAAGACUUGAUGAGAUUGCCAGCCGAGCAAAAGUUAACUCUCCACCGCUCGGUACUCUCAUCCAUUCAUUGCAGAAGGAAGGUUAUGCUGCUUGUAGAUCUCAUAUAGGUGCCAACGCCGUCAAGACCAACUGUCCCAUCAGUUCAUGCAUUGUGGUCGCACGGGAGAUCCGAAAUUUGCGUUAACCGCAAACUACACAGUACACACUUUGAAUUUUGCUAACUCCACAAUGUGUGUAUUGUUAAACUGCACAAAUUGUGGCUUUGCGCUCUAGUUUCUUCAAUGUUCCAGGUGAACACACGGUUCCAAAACCAGAAGAGAGCUUGCUCAUUGGCAGUGGUCUGAAAUCGGAACACAUUUUGCUGUCCUACACAACAGAAGUUGCAAGUUUUGAUCUUGGCGCGUGCAGCUGGUUGUUUCAUGCGCAACAAAGUUCUUGAUAGGACAUUGUAGCUAUUCAGCUGCUUUGUUUGUAACAGUAGCGUUCUUUUUCUUGAAGAUUCUUCCUUACUACUCCCUCUGUUUUUAUUUACUCUGCAUAUUACUGUAGCUUUGUCUUACGUCAA